GACGAACCGUGCAAACGUUAUUCGGAAUCACUGGGCAUAAAGGGCGCGUAGGCGGCUCCAAAAGUCAGGGGUGAAAUCCGGCAGCUUAACUGUCGCAGUGCCUUUGAUACUGUGGAGCUAGAGGGAGGUAGGGGUCUGUGGAACUUCCGGUGGAGCGGUGAAAUGCGUUGAUAUCGGAAGGAACGCCGGUGGCGAAAGCGGGUCUCUGGGAAUAUCCUGGACGCUGAGGAGCGAAAGUGUGGGGAGCGAACAGG
rnacentral:rRNA from 1 species